rnacentral:rRNA from 1 species
AGUGAACGCUGGCGGCAGGCCUAACACAUGCAAGUCGAACGAGUGGCGCACGGGUGAGGAAUACAUCGGAACCUACUCUGUCGCGGGGGAUAACUUAGGGAAACUUACGCUAAUACCGCUUACGUUUGAAUGAUCCGUUGAGGCAUUAGCCAGUUGGUGGGGUAAAGGCUUACCAAGGCGACGAUCCGUAGCUGGUCUGAGAGGUUGAUCGGCCACACUGGAACUGAGACACGGUCCAGACUCCUACGGGAGGCAGCAGUAGGGAAUCUUGGACAAUGGGCGCAAGCCUGAUCCAGCCAUGCCGCGUGAGUGAAGAAGGCCUUCGGGUUGUAAAGUACUUUCAGCGGGGAAGCGUUACCCAAGGAAGAAGCCCCGGCUAACUACGUGCCAGCAGCCGCGGUAAUUC